CUUAACCGGGCGUUAAGUUGCAGGGUAUAGACCCGAAACCCGGUGAUCUAGCCAUGGGCAGGUUGAAGGUUGGGUAACACUAACUGGAGGACCGAACCGACUAAUGUUGAAAAAUUAGCGGAUGACCUGUGGCUGGGGGUGAAAGGCCAAUCAAACCGGGAGAUAGCUGGUUCUCCCCGAAAGCUAUUUAGGUAGCGCCUCGUGAAUUCAUCUCCGGGGGUAGAGCACUGUUUCGGCUAGGGGGCCAUCCCGGCUUACCAACCCGAUGCAAACUGCGAAUACCGGAGAAUGUUAUCACGGGAGACACACGGCGGGUGCUAACGUCCGUCGUGAAGAGGGAAACAACCCAGACCGCCAGCUAAGGUCCCAAAGUCAUGGUUAAGUGGGAAACGAUGUGGGAAGGCCCAGACAGCCAGGAUGUUGGCUUAGAAGCAGCCAUCAUUUAAAGAAAGCGUAAUAGCUCACUGGUCGAGUCGGCCUGCGCGGAAGAUGUAACGGGGCUAAACCAUGCACCGAAGCUGCGGCAGCGAACGUAUCACUUAAAGCGAUUCAGCGGGUUACGAUUGACGGAGCGAAGCGACGUCAAAGCGUAUACAAAGUCGAGUCGGUUUAAGGAUACGUUCGUUGGGUAGGGGAGCGUUCUGUAAGCCUGUGAAGGUGGCCUGUGAGGGUUGCUGGAGGUAUCAGAAGUGCGAAUGCUGACAUAAGUAACGAUAAAGCGGGUGAAAAGCCCGCUCGCCGGAAGACCAAGGGUUCCUGUCCAACGUUAAUCGGGGCAGGGUGAGUCGACCCCUAAGGCGAGGCCGAAAGGCGUAGUCGAUGGGAAACGGGUUAAUAUUCCCGUACUUGGUGUUACUGCGAAGGGGGGACGGAGAAGGCUAUGUUGGCCGGGCGACGGUUGUCCCGGUUUAAGCGUGUAGGUGUGUGUUCCAGGUAAAUCCGGUU
rnacentral:rRNA from 1 species